rnacentral:rRNA from 1 species
UUGAACGCUGGCGGCAUGCCUUACACAUGCAAGUCGAACGGUAACGGGUUAAGCCGACGAGUGGCGAACGGGUGAGUAACAUAUCGGAACGUACCCAGACGUGGGGGACAACUAGUCGAAAGACUAGCUAAUACCGCAUACGUCCUGAGGGAGAAAGCGGGGGCUCGCAAGACCUCGCGCGUUUGGAGCGGCCGAUAUCUGAUUAGCUAGAUGGUGGGGUAAAGGCUCACCAUGGCGACGAUCAGUAGCUGGUCUGAGAGAAUGAUCAGCCACACUGGAACUGAGACACGGUCCAGACUCCUACGGGAGGCAGCAGUGGGGAAUUUUGGACAAUGGGGGAAACCCUGAUCCAGCCAUUCCGCGUGAGUGAAGAAGGCCUUCGGGUUGUAAAGCUCUUUCGGCAGGAACGAAACGGCGGAUACUAAUAUUAUCCGUUACUGACGGUACCUGAAGAAGAAGCACCGGCUAACUACGU